GAGAGGCGGGCUGGGAAUGCGCGUGCGCAGUCUCGGCAAGCGCAGCUCUUCCUCCUCGUCGUCCUCCCGGGCGCCUCGCCAGGUCUUCCGGGCGGGCGGGCGCGGAGGGGGCGCGGGGCGGAACAGCGGGACGCCCAGGGCGGGCAGCGCCCCCUCCCCCGCGGCCCCCCCGCCCCGCCACAGGAGGGGGCGGAGCUUGCCCUGUGGGCGGGGCCUGCCCCGUGCCGGCAAGGAAGGCCUAGCCGGGUCCGGCCCGCCCUCACUCUUUCCCUCUCCCAGGGCCGGGAAGAGCCGAGCCCGGAGGAGGCGGGGGGCGGGCUUGGCCUCUCCGGCCUCCUCCUUCCUGGCCCUCAGGGCCUCCCGCUUGGCCUCCGCCGCCGCCUGCCUACGCUCGCUGAGCGCCCAUAACGGCCGCCUACCCUGCACGCUCCUCACUUCCGCCAUGGCUGCACGAGAUGGAGCGCAUACUGUUUGCGGUUUGGAGACCCCUGCGAUAUCGACACGGAAGACCAAGAAGAACAAACAGAAAACUCUUGGAACCGGGGAAGGAAGCAGCACCCAUGAAAACCCUCAGCCUCCCAGGAAGAAAAGGGCCCCCGGGUUGACCCCAGUGUUGAAAGCGAGGAAACGUUUAUGAACAGAGUGGAAGUCAAAGUGAAAAUACCAGAAGAGCUGAAACCGUGGCUGGUCGAUGACUGGGACCUGAUCACCCGGCAAACGCAGAGAACAUGCUGUGAAGGAAGUCGUGGCCGGCAUCAAGGAGUACUUCAGUGUCAUGCUGGGCACGCAGCUGCUGUAUAAGUUUGAGCGGCCGCAGUCCGCCGAGGUCUUGGCCGACCACCCCGAUUCGCCCAUGUCCCAGGUGUCUGGCGCGCCCCACCUCCUGCGGCUGUUCGUCGGAUUGGCGCAAUGCUGGCCUACACACCUCUCGAUAAGAAGAGUUUGGCCCUGCUGUUGAACGACUUACACGAUUUCCUGAGUAUCUUGCCAAGAAUUCCUCUGCGUUGUUUAGCGCAAGCGACUAUGAGGUUGCACCUCCCGAGUAUCACCGGAAAGCCAUGUAAGCCUCUCUCUGAGAGGUGGGAAAGGGGACUGCUGGGAGCGGGGACCCAUUACCGGAAAAUGGGGUCCUUGUUUCACUGCGGCCACACAGCUGCCCACUUCCACGUUCCUCCAUGGCCUCCCAUCCUGUGCGGUUGACACAAGGCUCAGCGGAUAUUACGUCUUCGGAAAGGGAGACGGGUUCAAGAUUGGGAGAGGAGUACGGACAUCAGGGCUGCAUCCUCUCACCCUCCCUAUUCAACUUGUACGCAGAAGACAUCAUGCAAUGUAUGUGUGGGGCUUGACGAAUCCAAGGCUGGAGUUAAAAUUGCUGGAAGAAACAUUAACAACCUUAGGUGUGCAAAUGAUACGACUCUGAUUAAAGCUGACAGUGAGGAGGAGCCUUAUCACCAAGGUGGAAGAAAGAAGACAGCGCAAAAGCCGGGCUGCAGUUAAACAUCAAGAAAACUAAGGUGAUGGCAACCAGACCAAUUGACAACUGGCCAAUAGAGGGAGAAAACGUGGAGGCCGUGACAGACUUCAUAUUUCUAGGCGUGAAGAUCACUGCAGAUGCAGACUGCAGCCAGGAAAUCAGAAGACUUUUUCUUCUUGGGAGAAGAGCAAGGAUAAAACAGUGAUAAAACAGUGAAGAGCAGAGACAUCACACUGGCAACGAAGGUCGCAUAGUGAAAACAGUGGUAUUCCCCGUAGUAACCUAUGGAUGCGAGAGCUGGACCAUAAGAAGGGCUGAGCGAAGGAAGAGAGAUGCAUUUGAACUCUGGUGCUAGAGGAAAAUCCUGAGAGUGCCUUGGAGCACAAGAAGAUCCACCCAGUCCAUCCUCCAGGAAAGAAAGCUGGGCUGCUCCCUGGAGGGAAGGAUAUUGGAGGCAAAGAUGGGGGGAGGGGUGCGUGGCCGUGAGGGGGGAUUGUGAUGGGUAGGGGGCUUUGGGGACACUCUGAGGCUGAGAGAGAGUGUCAGGGCCAGGCUGGGCACCCAGGAGGGCAGGAUCAGGAAGCAGAGAUGUUCUUCGUCCUCCUCCUCCUCUGUGGGGCCCUGGAUGUUGCACACGGGCGGGCUGGCUAGCUGGCGAGGAGGGGUAUGGGAUGGAAAAGCAGGAGGCCCAGGGCGGGCAGCGCCUCCCUAGCAGAGGACGGAGCGAACCCUGCUGCCUCAGGGGCCUCUUUGCCCUCUGCUGAAGGGCGGCGAUGGGGGCCGCCUCCAUCCCUUCCCUCCCAAGGCAGGGCAGUGGCCCCUCGGGCGGUGGUUUGGCCAGGAGGGGCUGGAGGGGGCCCUGCCUCUGGGGCCGCGCCGGGGGAGGCCUCUUCCCGGCCUGGCUUGGCUUUCCCAAGGCGGGAAAGAGCCUUGCCCAGAGGAGGAGGGGGCGGGCCUGGCCUCGCCGGCCUCCUUCUGUGCCCUUACGGCUGCCCUCUUGGCCUCCACGGCCGCGUACCUCUCAGGGCUCAGCGCCCACAGCAGGCGUGGAGGGCGAGGAGGGGGCGCGGCCUGGAGAAGGAAGCCCAGGGCAGGCAGCGCCCCCUCGGGUUCCCUCCUCGCCAGGAGGGGCUGGAGCGCCCCCUGCCGCACGGGCCUCGUCCCCCUUCGCGGGGCCCUGCCCCCGGCAGGCAUGGCAGGACCCCCUCCAGGUCCGGCCUCCUGAGGAGUGGCAGGAGGGGGCCCUGUUUGCGGGGCCGCGCAGGGGCAGGCCUCUCUUCCACCGCCUUGUGCCCGGGCCCGCCCUCGCCCAGCCUGGAGAAGAGGCGGGCCUGGACGAGGCGGGGGACCAAAAUGUCCGCCCUCUUCAGUUCCGCCUCAUCUUCUUUUCUUCUGAGCACAGCCCAUAAAGGGCGUCUUUCAGGUAAUAUUUUAUUGCCGUCCAUUUUGGAAAAAAACGGAGGCUGAAUGGGCUGCAGGGGGAGAGUGGGGGGCUUGGCCGGGAGGGCGGAUUGUGACAGGGAGGGGGCCUUGGGGACCCUCUGAGGCUGAGAGGUUGUGCCCUGCCCAAGGCCAUCCAGGCUGGAAGGAGGGAAGGGGCCUCAGGAGGGGCAUCUGGGGGCGCAGGGGGGCGGCUUCUUCCCUGCCUGGGGUCCAGGCCCGCCCUCGCCCAGGGUGGCCCCGAGGGCAGGGAAUAGGUGGGUCCAGACCAGGUUGCAAGGAAUGAGUGCUUUGUUUCCCCAGGAGGGGCUGGAGCGCCCCCUGCCGCAUGGGCCUCCUCGCCGUACUUGGGGGCCCGCCCUCGGCCCUGGUUGGCCUCCCUCCGGGUCGGGCCUCCUCAGCAGUGGCACCCCAUCCGGCGGUGGCUUGGCCAGGAGGGGCUGGAGGGGGCCCUGCCUCGGGCUGCGCCGGGGGAGGCCUCUUCCCGGCCUGGCUUGGCCCGGGCCCUCGCUCGCCUCUAGAAGGAGGGGGCGGAGCUUGCCCUGUGGGCGGGGCCUGCUCCAUGCCGUACUGGAAGGCCUAGCCGUGUCCGGCCCGUCCCCGCCCUCGCUCUUUCCCUCUCCCAGGGCCGGGAAGAGCCGAGCCCAGAGGAGGCGGGGGGCGGGCCUGGCCUCGCCGGCCUUCUCCUUCCUGGCCCUCAGGGCUGCCCGCUUGGCCUCCACCGCCGCCUACCGGUGCUCGCUGAGUGCCCACAACGGGCGCCUACCCUCCGUGCUCCUCACGUUCGCCAUGGCUCGGUGAGAAAUGGGAGUCCGGGCAGGGAGGGGGCUGUACCCCGCGAGAGGAGAUUGUGACGGGAUGGGAGCGGGGGUUGUGACGUAGGGGUCAGGGGCAGGGAGGGGGCCUAGUCAUGAGGGGCGAUUGUGAUGGGGAGGGGGAUUUGGGGACCCUCUGAGGCUGAGAGUGUGUCAGGGCCAGGCUGGGCACUCGGGGGGGGCAUAGGUGUGGAAGGCAGUGAUGUUCCUCCUCCGCGGGGCCCCGGAUGUUGCACGCAGGUGCUAAAUUUGUAAAUACGGUUAUUACUACAGAACAUUGCUAUGUCCUGAACUGCUUUUUCUGUCAAUUUGUUGUAAAACAUGAUGUUUGGUGCUUAAUUUGGAAAGUCCUAAUGUAAUUUGGUGUUUAAUAGGCUUUUCCUUAGUUCCUCCUUAUUAACCAAUAUUUUCGCUUAUCCAGUGUUUUGCCUGCUCGUUUAUGUUGGAUAAGUGAGACUCUACUGUAUAUACAUACACCAGUGGUUCCCAAACUUAUUUGGCCAACCGCCCCCUUUCCAGAAAAAAUGCUACUCAGGAAAGGGGGGCGUGGCUUAGGGGGUGGGCGUGGCUCCUGCUCAAGAGGGCGGGACUAAGCCUCUCCCCUAGUCCAAGAUGCAGGGCUGGGAGGGGGAGGUGGGCGGGGCCACAAAUGGGAGGCCAGGACUGGGAUGGGCGAGUUCUGAGGCAGGGCUGAGCUUCUAUCCCUGUCCUGCGGCGCCUGCCAGGACACAGGGGGAGGGGCUAGAGGAGGGGGCGAGGCCUCUUCCGAAGUGCCUGACUGUGCUGAACCUCUAUAUCCCGCCCCCGUGUUUUAGCAAGCGCCUCAGGGGAGGUAUACAGAGUCUCAGCCCUGUCUCACCCCUGCCCCGCCCUUUAGUCCUAAGAGGCCUCUCGGGAGAGAUACAGAGGCUCAGCCCUGUCUCGGGCUCUUGGAAGAAGGCCCCGCCCCCUUCCCUAGCUCCGCCCUCUGUGUCCCAACAAGCGCCUCAAGAGAGGUAUAGAGGCUCAGCCCUGUCUCGGGCUCUUGGGAAGAAGCCUGGCCCCGCCCCCAUGUCCUAAUAGGUGCUAUCACUGCCCCCCCGGAUCGCUGCAGCGCCCACCAGGGGGCGGUAGCACCUACUUUGGGAAUCGCUGCCUUAGAGGAUUGUUUCUUGUCUAGAAUUCCUCUGCCAGCUAACACUUCCCAAAGAAGUUUCAAAGCAGCCAGGCUUUGAAGCUGCAAGGCUACUCAAUGCUAAUCAAGCUGGCCAGUUGCAACAUUCACACUUGCCUCAAACAGACAAACAGAGUUUUUUCUUCCACCCUGAACUUUCCACAGAUCUAUGGCAGGCAUCCUAAGGGGUUGUGAGGUUUGUUGGAAACUAGGCAAGUGGGGUUUAUAUACCUGUGGAUAUCUAUGUCAUUUUUGCAUGAUUGUAUUAAUUAAUGAUGUUUUGUUUCCCUGGGGCCUGGAAUCCCCAGCCCAGCCCUCUUAAUGGGCCAGGUCAUGUUCAUCGCAUGGAACAACAGCCUUCCUGGGUAGGGCCAGAAAAUGCCCUCAAUCGUUUUAUUGUUUUUCCUGUCAACAAAGAGGAACUUCACCUGUCGCCAAGAAUUAGAGGCUUGGCUGCAGCCGGUGUAUAAAAAGGGCUAUGAAACUGUAUUCUGUAUGCUAUCUACUUUGUGAAUGAAUCACUAUCUGGCAUCUUACCUGCAGAUAAUAAAAUCCUCCUUGGCUGAAAAUCA